rnacentral:rRNA from 1 species
CGGCGUGCUUAACACAUGCAAGUCGAACGGAAAGGCCCUGCUUUUGUGGGGUGCUCGAGUGGCGAACGGGUGAGUAACACGUGAGUAACCUGCCCUUGACUUUGGGAUAACUUCAGGAAACUGGGGCUAAUACCGGAUAGGAGCUCCUGCUGCAUGGUGGGGGUUGGAAAGUUUCGGCGGUUGGGGAUGGACUCGCGGCUUAUCAGCUUGUUGGUGGGGUAGUGGCUUACCAAGGCUUUGACGGGUAGCCGGCCUGAGAGGGUGACCGGCCACAUUGGGACUGAGAUACGGCCCAGACUCCUACGGGAGGCAGCAGUGGGGAAUAUUGCACAAUGGGCGGAAGCCUGAUGCAGCAACGCCGCGUGCGGGAUGACGGCCUUCGGGUUGUAAGCCGCUUUCGCCUGUGACGAAGCGUGAGUGACGGUAAUGGGUAAAGAAGCACCGGCUAACUACGUGCCAGCAGCCGCGGUGAUACGUAGGGUGCGAGCGUUGUCCGGAUUUAUUGGGCGUAAAGGGCUCGUAGGUGGUUGAUCGCGUCGGAAGUGUAAUCUUGGGGCUUAACCCUGAGCGUGCUUUCGAUACGGGUUGACUUGAGGAAGGUAGGGGAGAAUGGAAUUCCUGGUGGAGCGGUGGAAUGCGCAGAUAUCAGGAGGAACACCAGUGGCGAAGGCGGUUCUCUGGGCCUUUCCUGACGCUGAGGAGCGAAAGCGUGGGGAGCGAACAGGCUUAGAUACCCUGGUAGUCCACGCUGUAAACGGUGGGUACUAGGUGUGGGGUCCAUUCCACGGGUUCCGUGCCGUAGCUAACGCUUUAAGUACCCCGCCUGGGGAGUACGGCCGCAAGGCUAAAACUCAAAGGAAUUGACGGGGCCCCGCACAAGCGGCGGAGCAUGCGGAUUAAUUCGAUGCAACGCGUAGAACCUUACCUGGGUUUGACAUGGAUCGGGAGUGCUCAGAGAUGGGUGUGCCUCUUUUGGGGUCGGUUCACAGGUGGUGCAUGGCUGUCGUCAGCUCGUGUCGUGAGAUGUUGGGUUAAGUCCCGCAACGAGCGCAACCCUUGUUCACUGUUGCCAGCACGUUAUGGUGGGGACUCAGUGGAGACCGCCGGGGUCAACUCGGAGGAAGGUGGGGAUGACGUCAAGUCAUCAUGCCCCUUAUGUCCAGGGCUUCACGCAUGCUACAAUGGCUGGUACAGAGAGUGGCGAGCCUGUGAGGGUGAGCGAAUCUCGGAAAGCCGGUCUCAGUUCGGAUUGGGGUCUGCAACUCGACCUCAUGAAGUCGGAGUCGCUAGUAAUCGCAGAUCAGCAACGCUGCGGUGAAUACGUUCCCGGGGCUUGUACACACCGCCCGUCAAGUCAUGAAAGUUGGUAACACCCGAAGCCGGUGGCCUAACCAAGGUGGGGGAGCCGUCGAAGGUGGGACUGGUGAUUAGCC